rnacentral:rRNA from 1 species
GACGAACGCUGGCGGCGUGCCUAAUACAUGCAAGUCGAACGCACGAAGUUGAAGAGCUUGCUCUUUAACCAAGUGAGUGGCGGACGGGUGAGUAACACGUGGGUAACCUGCCCAUUAGAGGGGGAUAACAUUCGGAAACGGAUGCUAAUACCGCAUAGUUUCAGGGAUCGCAUGAUUCUUGAAGGAAAGGUGGCUUCGGCUACCACUAAUGGAUGGACCCGCGGCGUAUUAGCUAGUUGGUGAGGUAAUGGCUCACCAAGGCAAUGAUACGUAGCCGACCUGAGAGGGUGAUCGGCCACACUGGGACUGAGACACGGCCCAGACUCCUACGGGAGGCAGCAGUAGGGAAUCUUCCGCAAUGGACGAAAGUCUGACGGAGCAACGCCGCGUGAGUGAAGAAGGUUUUCGGAUCGUAAAACUCUGUUGUUAAAGAAGAACAAGGAUGAGAGUAACUGCUCAUCCCCUGACGGUAUUUAACCAGAAAGCCACGGCUAACUACGUGCCAGCAGCCGCGGUAAUACGUAGGUGGCAAGCGUUGUCCGGAUUUAUUGGGCGUAAAGCGAGCGCAGGCGGUUCUUUAAGUCUGAUGUGAAAGCCCCCGGCUCAACCGGGGAGGGUCAUUUGGAAACUGGAGAACUUGAGUGCAGAAGAGGAGAGUGGGAAUUCCACGUGUAGCGGUGAAAUGCGUAGAUAUGUGGAGGAAUCACCAGUGGCGAAGGCGACUCUCUGUGUCUGUAACUGACGCUGAGGCUCGAAAGCGUGGGGGAGCAAACAGG